rnacentral:misc_RNA from 1 species
GUAGGUGAACCUGCGGAAGGAUCAUUAUUGAAUCCUUAGGAUGUUGCUGGCCUUUCGGGGCAUGUGCACUCCGCCUUUCAAUACACCUGUGAACUUAUUGUAGGCGCAGAUGUAACAGUCUGUUGUCUAUGUUUUUAACACACCCCUUAAAAUGUGUAAUGAAUGUCUAAAUAUGGCCUUUGAUGGUCAACAAACUUAAUACAACUUUCAACAAUGGAUCUCUUGGUUCUCGCAUCGAUGAAGAACGCAG